UACGGCCAUAUCACGUGGAAACACCGCUUCCCGUACGAUCAUCGCAGUUAAGCAACGUCGAGCCUGGUCAAUAGGUAGCUGGGUGACCGCUUGGGAAUACCAGGUGCUGUUA